GGGAUUUGUGUCAGGGUUCGAGGUAAAGACAUCUGAUUUAGAGACAGCUUUCAGAUAAGGUUGCUUCAGUCAUGGUGUUUCAUCAGAGCAUGGACAGCUGUUUGAACAUGCAGUUUGGUGAAGAAAGGAAUGUGGACGCUUAGAAGUUGAGGACAAGACAGAUGGUGGAGGAAGCCUUGGAUUCCCUUACUAAGACAACAGAGGUCCUGGGAGACGGCUCAGAGGGUAGAAGAGCCUGCCAUCUGAGUUCAACUCCCAAAUCCCACAGUGGAAGGAGAGACCCAACUCGUGGAAGUUGUCCUCUCAUCUCCACAAGUGAGUCACACACAACAAACACUCACCCCCCUUUUUCUCUCAUUGUCCUUUCCAUCAAACCUUCACCUACAUUUAUUUAUUUAUCUAAUCUCUCUGGGCUUAUAAGAGUUGCCUUGAUCAUGGUGUCUCUUCACAAUAAUACAUAAAUAAAUCUUUUUUAUAGAUUU